GACGAACGCUGGCGGCGUGCUUAACACAUGCAAGUCGAACGGAAAGGCCCUGCUUUUGUGGGGUGCUCGAGUGGCGAACGGGUGAGUAACACGUGAGUAACCUGCCCUUGACUUUGGGAUAACUUCAGGAAACUGAGGCUAAUACCGGAUAGGAGCUCCUGCUGCAUUGUGGGGGUUGGAACGUUUCGGCGGUUGGGGAUGGACUCGCGGCUUAUGAGCUUGUUGGUGGGGUAGUGGCUUACCAAGGCUUUGACUGGUAGCCGGCCUGAGAGGGUGACCGGCCACAUUGGGACUGAGAUACGGCGCAGACUGCUACGGGAGGCAGCAGUGGGGAAUAUUGCACAAUGGGCGGAAGCCUGAUGCAGCAACGCCGCGUGCGGGAUGACGGCCUGCGGGUUGUAAACCGCUGUCGCCUGUGACGAAGCGUGAGUGACGGUAAUGGGUAAAGAAGCACCGGCUAACUACGUG
rnacentral:rRNA from 1 species